GACGAACGCUGGCGGCGUGCCUAAUACAUGCAAGUAGGACGCAGUUGCGAACGGGGGAGUAACGCGUAGGUAACUACCUAUUAGAGGGGGAUAACUAUUGGAAACGAUAGCUAAUACCGCAUACUAGUAGAUGGACCUGCGUUGUAUUAGCUAGUAGGUUGGGUAAUGGCCUACCUAGGCAACGAUACAUAGCCUCACGGGGAUGGGGAUCGGCCAAACUGGGAAUGAGACACGUCCCAGACUCCUACUGGAGGCAGCAGUAGGGAAUCUUCGGCAAUUGGGGGAACCCUGACCGAGCAACGCCGCGUGAGUGAAGAAGGUUUUCGGAUCGUAAAGCUCUGUUGUUAAGGAAGCGGUACUUAACCAGAAAGGGACGGCUAACUACGUGCCAGCAGCCGCGGUAAUAC
rnacentral:rRNA from 1 species